rnacentral:rRNA from 1 species
AUACGGAGGGUCCAAGCGUUAUCCGGAAUCAUUGGGUUUAAAGGGUCCGCAGGCGGUCAAUUAAGUCAGAGGUGAAAGCCCAUCGCUCAACGAUGGAACUGCCUUUGAUACUGGUUGACUUGAGUUAUACGGAAGUAGAUAGAAUAAGUAGUGUAGCGGUGAAAUGCAUAGAUAUUACUUAGAAUACCGAUUGCGAAGGCAGUCUACUACGUAUAUACUGACGCUGAGGGACGAAAGCGUGGGGAGCGAACAGGAUUAGAAACCCUAGUAGUUCC